rnacentral:rRNA from 1 species
CCUACGGGAGGCAGCAGUGGGGAAUAUUGGACAAUGGGCGAAAGCCUGAUCCAGCCAUGCCGCGUGUGUGAAGAAGGCCUUCGGGUUGUAAAGCACUUUCAGUGGGGAAGAAAGCCUUGGGGCUAAUACCCUCGAGGAAGGACAUCACCCACAGAAGAAGCACCGGCUAACUCCGUGCCAGCAGCCGCGGUAAUACGGAGGGUGCGAGCGUUAAUCGGAAUUACUGGGCGUAAAGCGCGCGUAGGUGGUCUGAUAAGCCGGUUGUGAAAGCCCCGGGCUCAACCUGGGAACGGCAUCCGGAACUGUCAGGCUAGAGUGCAGGAGAGGAAGGUAGAAUUCCCGGUGUAGCGGUGAAAUGCGUAGAGAUCGGGAGGAAUACCAGUGGCGAAGGCGGCCUUCUGGACUGACACUGACGCUGAGGUGCGAAAGCGUGGGUAGCAAACAGGAUUAGAUACCCGUGUAGUC